UUCCUACGGGGGGCAGCAGUGGGGAAUAUUGCGCAAUGGGGGAAGCCCUGACGCAGCAACGCCGCGUGCAGGAAGAAGGUCUUCGGAUUGUAAACUGUUGUCGCAGGGGAAGAAGACAGUGACGGUACCCUGUGAGAAAGUCACGGCUAACUACGUGCCAGCAGCCGCGGUAAUACGUAGGUGGCGAGCGUUAUCCGGAAUGAUUGGGCGUAAAGGGUGCGUAGGCGGCCUGCUAAGUCUGGAGUGAAAGGUACCGGCUCAACCGGUACAGGCUCUGGAAGCUGGCGGGCUAGAGAGCAGGAGAG
rnacentral:rRNA from 1 species